rnacentral:rRNA from 1 species
GGGUCAGUAGGUUGGUCGUGCCACCGGUACGUACUGGUCUCACUGAUUCCUCCUUCCUGAAGAACCGUAAUGCCAUUAAUUUGGUGUUGCGGGGAAACAGGACUGUUACUUUGAAAAAAUUGGAGUGUUUAAAGCAAGCUAACGCUUGAAUACAUUAGCGUGGAAUAAUGAAAUAGGACGAUCGAUCCUAUUUUGUUGGUUUCUAGGAUUGACGUA